AGCGGGGUGAUCUACCCAUGGCCAGUGUGAAGCAGCAGUAAGAUGCUGUGGAGGCGCGAACCCACGUAGGUUGAAAACUGCGGGGAUGAGCUGUGGGUAGGGGUGAAAGGCCAAUCAAACUCCGUGAUAGCUGGUUCUCCCCGAAAUGCAUUUAGGUGCAGCGUCGCAUUAGCUUGGUGGAGGUAGAGCUACUGGUUGGUUGAGCGGGACUACAAUCUUAGCAAUGUCAGCCAAACUCCGAAUGCCAUUAAUGUGUUGUGCGGCAGUGAGACUGUGGGGGAUAAGCUUCAUAGUCGAGAGGGAAACAGCCCAGAUCGCCGGUUAAGGCCCCUAAGGGUGUGCUAAGUGGAAAAGGAUGUGGGAUCGCGAAGACAGCCAGGAGGUUGGCUUAGAAGCAGCCAUCCUUGAAAGAGUGCGUAAUAGCUCACUGGUCGAGUGGUUCUGCGCCGACAAUGUAGUGGGGCUCAAGCACACCGCCGAAGCCGCGGCAAUAAUAUUUUGUUAUUGGGUAGGGGAGCGUCGUGCACGUGUUGAAGCGUUACCGUGAGGAGGCGUGGAGUGUGUGCGAGUGAGAAUGCAGGCAUGAGUAACGAAUUGGAAGGUGAGAAUCCUUCCCGCCGGAUGACUAAGGGUUCCUGGGUCAAGUUCGUCUUCCCAGGGUGAGUCGGGACCUAAGGCGAGGCCGACAGGCGUAGUCGAUGGAUAACCAGUUGAUAUUCUGGUACCCGGGUAUAUGCGCCCCUGAUAAAGCACUGAUACUAACCACCGUAAGCUGUUGUGAUUGGCCUUCGGGUUAACAUGGUGGCAAGCCGUGGGGCCUGAUGUGUGGUUCAAGCGAUGGGGUGACACAGUGGGGUAGCCAUGCCGCUUAGUGGAUUGUUGGUGUAAGCGUGUAGGUGAUGGUGUAGGUAAAUCCGCACUUGUUAGCUGAGACGUGAUGCGUAGCCUUAAUUGGUGAAGUUGGUGAUCCCGUGCUGUCGAGAAAAGCCUCUAGCGAUGUAUAUACUCGGCCCGUACCCCAAACCGACACAGGUAGUCAGGUUGAAAAUACUAAGGCGUUCGGGUGAACUGUGGUUAAGGAACUCGGCAAAAUGCCCCCGUAACUUCGGGAGAAGGGGGACCCUAUGGCGUGAACACCCAUUUGCGGUGGGAAGCGUUGUGGGGUCGCAGAGAAUAGAGGGAAGCGACUGUUUAUCAAAAACACAGGUCCAUGCGAAGACGUUAAGUUGAUGUAUAUGGACUGACGCCUGCCCGGUGCUGGAAGGUUAAGAGGACCGGUUAAUCAAGCUUUGCUUGGUGAAGCUGAGAAUUUAAGCCCCAGUAAACGGCGGUGGUAACUAUAACCAUCCUAAGGUAGCGAAAUUCCUUGUCGGGUAAGUUCCGACCUGCACGAAUGGCGUAACGACUUCCCUGCUGUCUCAACCACAGGCCCGGUGAAAUUGCACUACGAGUAAAGAUGCUCGUUACGCGCGGCAGGACGAAAAGACCCCGGGACCUUCACUAUAGCUUGGUAUUGGUGUUCGGUUCGGUUUGUGUAGGAUAGGUGGGAGACUAUGAAACAUGCACGCCAGUGUGUGUGGAGUCGUUGUUGAAAUACCACUCUGAUCGGAUUGGAUACCUUAACCUUGGCCCAUGAUCUGGGUUGGGGACAGUGCCUGGUGGGUAGUUUAACUGGGGCGGUUGCCUCCCAAAAUGUAACGGAGGCGCCCAAAGGUUCCCUCAGCCUGGUUGGCAAUCAGGUGGUGAGUGUAAGUGCACAAGGGAGCUUGACUGUGAGAGUGACAGCUCGAACAGGGACGAAAGUCGGGACUAGUGAUCCGGCACCUACUUGUGGAUGUGGUGUCGCUCAACGGAUAAAAGGUACCCCGGGGAUAACAGGCUGAUCUUCCCCAAGAGUCCAUAUCGACGGGAUGGUUUGGCACCUCGAUGUCGGCUCGUCGCAUCCUGGGGCUGGAGUAGGUCCCAAGGGUUGGGCUGUUCGCCCAUUAAAGCGGCACGCGAGCUGGGUUCAGAACGUCGUGAGACAGUUCGGUCUCUAUCCGCCGCGCGCGUUGAAACUUGAAGAAGGCUGUCCCUAGUACGAGAGGACCGGGACGGACGUACCUCUAGUGUGCCAGUUGUUCCGCCAGGAGCAUCGCUGGUUGGCUACGUACGGAAGGGAUAACCGCUGAAAGCAUCUAAGCGGGAAGCCUGUUUUAAGAUGAGGUUUCAUUUGAGGUCCCCUAAAGACUAUGGGGUUGAUAGGCCAGACAUGGAAGCACCGCAAGGUGUGGAGUCUACUGGUACUAAUA
rnacentral:rRNA from 1 species